rnacentral:rRNA from 1 species
AUUGAACGCUGGCGGCAGGCCUAACACAUGCAAGUCGAACGCGCGGCGGACGGGUGUGAAAUAUCUCGGAACCUCCCUAAUGUAGGGGGAUAACUCUUGGAAACGCUGGCUAUAAUCGCAUCCCAUCACAUGUGUCCAGAUGGGAGUUGCUAGUAGGUGGGGUAACGGCUCACCUAGGCGACGCUCCCUAGCUGGUCUGAGAGGAUGAGCCGCAACACUGGAACGGAGACACGGUCCAGACUCCGACGGGAGGCAGCAGUGGGGAAUAUUGCACAAUGGGCGCAAGCCUGAUGCAGCCAUGCCGCGUGUGGGAAGAAGGCCUUCGGGUUGUAAAGCACGUUCAGCGGGGAGGCGUUACCCGCAGAAGAAGCACCGGCUAACUCCGUGCCAGCAGCCGCGGUAAUUC